rnacentral:rRNA from 1 species
GGCGGCGUGCCUAAUACAUGCAAGUAGAACGCUGAAGGAGGAGCUUGCUUCUCUGGAUGAGUUGCGAACGGGUGAGUAACGCGUAGGUAACCUGCCUGGUAGCGGGGGAUAACUAUUGGAAACGAUAGCUAAUACCGCAUAAGAGUAGAUGUUGCAUGACAUUUGCUUAAAAGGUGCAAUUGCAUCACUACCAGAUGGACCUGCGUUGUAUUAGCUAGUUGGUGAGGUAACGGCUCACCAAGGCGACGAUACAUAGCCGACCUGAGAGGGUGAUCGGCCACACUGGGACUGAGACACGGCCCAGACUCCUACGGGAGGCAGCAGUAGGGAAUCUUCGGCAAUGGACGGAAGUCUGACCGAGCAACGCCGCGUGAGUGAAGAAGGUUUUCGGAUCGUAAAGCUCUGUUGUAAGAGAAAGAAACGAGUGUGAGAGUGGAAAAGUUCACCACU